CGAACAGAACAGACAGAGGGGCGUCGCUCUUAGUCAGACGACUUCGCCUCAACGCCAUAGUUCAAUAGUCUAAAUUUCCCGAAAAAUAGAGACACUGCCGAGGGGAAGGGAAGCCGUUUUCAAAUCACAGACGCUAAGUGCUCACUGUGCCCAUUUCGGUAAUCGGUUUCAGAGUCAAAAUCAGGGUGCUGAGGCAUAAUAGAGCUAUCAAAUAAUUGUUAUGUUCUUGGCCGACAUCAGGAUCACCAGUGAAAUGGGAGCCAUGUGGGGAAGUGGGCGAUGGGUGGGCUCUGCUUACAGUCGACUUCCCAGUGACAGCGAAUGAGUAAUCCCCGGCACUCAAUGUCGGCCACAAGAUCCAUUAAUGAAAGCAGAUGAUAAAUUGUCUCAACAAGUUGCUCGGCGCACAAGCACAGCCAGGGGAAUUUUCCAAGCGCGCAACCUGAUUUAUGGAAUAUCUAAAAGCUCAGGGAUUCGAUUUGAGCAAAUAUUAAAAAUGUAUUAUAGAUUUUGAACAAAUAUUUUAUAUCUUUAAUUGAAAAUAAAUUUGUAUUAUCUCGCAGGAAA